CCAAUAGCGUAUAUUAAAGUUGCUGCAGUUAAAAAGCUCGUAGUUGAAUUUCGGGACUAAUAUGUCGGUCGUGCCUCGGUACGUACUGGUAUUUUUGGUUUCUCCCUUCUGACGAACCUUGAUGUCAUUAAUUUGGUGUCUUGGGAAAUCAGGACUGUUACUUUGAAAAAAUUAGAGUGUUUAAAGCAGGCUCACGCUUGAAUACAUUAGCAUGGAAUAA
rnacentral:rRNA from 1 species